AGAGCUCGUCUUUCACCACCACCAUAAUUGAAUGCCAUCAUUUAAGCCUCUCCAACAGAAAGUAAAGAGACGCCUGCUUCACUUCAUCUUCCCCUAACCCAUCCAAUCCCAUAAAAUCCGCCACACACUGCAUAGCCUCUCUGCUUUACUCCCGACGCGAACCAACGAGCCACCACCAUCUACCUCUGUCGGGAUUGCAGGUAUGUUGAUUGAGGUAAGGAGAUAUUCUAGAUGCUUUCAACAUUUUAAGUGUACACGUGCAGCAAUGCAUAUCAUGGGAAACCAAGCGUGGAGGAGGUCAUGUUUCUAACAUGGAUGGUGUUGGCUCGAACAUGGAUGGUGUUGUCGGUGGUGCUACGAGUCAACAAAUAUGGUCUUAGACAAUUUCAAUCACCACUAUUCAAAGAGUGCAAAAUGUCUAAAGUUGGAGUUAAUAUAGCAUCUCCUGGCAUGGUUCUCACAGACUUGCUAUUGAGUAUUCAUAACAAGCAAAUGUUCAACAUAAUCUGUUAACUACCAACGACGGUUGCUAGAACAUUGGUCCCAUGGAUGCGGUCGUAAAAGGAAGCAUGUUGGCAUUUGUCGUGGUGUUAUCUUCUUGUUUCUUCAUUCUGUAUUCUGAACUGUUUUGAGGUACUGAAAUGUUUGAAGGGCGUGGAGUCACUGGUUAAGGAUAGGGAGGUUGGUUGGAGGAAGGAAGGAACGUGAGACAUUGCUGGCCCAUCAAGAGAAGCUAAGGAUGACCUCAAGUACUUCCAAACCGUUGCAUCCGAUGCUUCCAAAGAUGUAGAAGAUUUACCGGCUGAGAUGACCAUGGUUCAAGACGACAAUCAAAAGUUGGCUUCUGAACGACAAAUCAUGUCCCUCAACAUGCAAGUUAGUUGGGAACAUGAUGGGGUUUAUAAUCAUCCAAGAAGGUAUGUAGAAAAGUUGUAACAAGUUAAAGUUUAACAAAACAAAAAUGAAUUCCUCACUUUGGACCUCAAAAUGGUGAUGUCCCAACCUAGUUUACUAAGGUAAACUUGUGGAUACACUACUAGAGGUGUUCCAGUGAGUUUGAAGCAAGAAUUCAUGAAGAAGAGAAAGAAAAGUGAGUUUGAAGCUCACUUCUAGACUUGUUUAUAAUCUGCCUUAAACUUGAAAAUUGAGUAACUUGAGAGUAUUUUGAGAGUCAUUUAAGUGUGGGAAAAGUGAAAUGAAGGUGUGGAAGACUUGUUUAUAUAAUGGUUGAUUAAGGUUAGAGUUUUAUUGAAGAAUGAAGGUAAUUGGGGAAGAAAGGAGGUAAGAAAAGUGAAAUCCGGAUCGGGCAAAAACUUCCUUGGCUCCCAAACAAAAACUGCCAGUUCACUGGCUUACGGAUCGUAUGGGCCAGAGCUUACGGUCCGUGAGCCCAUUAGGCGCCCAUGGUUUUUGAAUCCCAUACAGACCGUAAGACCUAUAGUCUUGCGAUCCGUAACCGCUUGCAAGUGCCAAUAAUUUAUUUAGUUUACGGCCCGUAACCACGAAUGGCUUAUGGUCCGUAGGCGUCACUCAGAGGCCAAAAAUUGGCAUGUUGACAUAAAUGGUCCUUCCACGACAUUCUUCCAUAUGUUUUGACAUAUUUAGUCCCUCUCGCCAAACAACGUGACAUAAAAUGAGAGUUUAUCAGACACGUGUCAUUAUAUCAUUCUACACAAAUUUCCGAGGUGUUACAUCAGGCAAAAAAAAAAAAAAAAACUUGCGGAUUAAGCUUCUACGUGUCGCGCGGACUUCAAGUCCUUGCCCACUGCACGCAGCGUGUUCGUUUGGCAGCCGAAGUUUGUUUUUUUUUGACAUAAUGGCCCCUGAACUUUCAUAUGUUUGUCAUUUUACGUUGUCAUUUUACGUUAAAAGUUUAUAUUUUAGGGGCUUUCAAGUAUAGGAAGUGUACGCAUGAAUAUAUUACGUAUUGUGUGUGUAUGAGUGAUAGUAUGUAUGUAUAACAAGUCUCGGUUUUGUGUAUAAACAAUUAUUUAACGAUUGAUUGCAUAUAACACAAGUAUGAUUGAUAUAAAUACGAUUUUCUUAUUAUAAUCGAAGUCUUGGAUUACAAUAUUGGAAAUGAAAUACGAAUACAGGUUUCUAUAAAUAUAAAUGCAAAGACAGCUUUCUAAAUAUGGAUUAUACAGAAAUGCUAAGCGUUACAUGACCCAUCAGUAUAUUGUAUGCCAUUUCGUCUAAAUAUGGAUUAUACAAAAAUGCUACAUGACCCAUCGGUAUUGUAUGCCAUUUGGUCUAAAUAUGGAUUAUACAGAAAUGUGAAGCGUUACAUGACCCAUCGGUAUUGUAUGCCAUUUCGUCCAGACACAACCAUCGGUUUCAUAAUCAAUUUUUGAAACUCGAUCAGCAUGUAACCAUGCCUUGAUCUUUCUAUUG